rnacentral:tRNA from 1 species
GCCGGUAUAGCCCAAUUGGUAGAAUGGCAGUACCCUCAAAACGUAUUCAGUGUGGGUUCGAAUCCCUCUACCGGCACCA